GUACCCACCCACUCAGAUGCCGCCUAUGCCUUACAGGUUACGCUGAGCACAGGGAUGAGACGAGCAACGCUGUGGAGGGCCUGGCGAGAUGCCCAUCACGUCUCCCCUCCUUCCCUCCCCUUUCCUCCCUGGCCCCGCAGUUCUGCGCAGGGAGAGAGGGCACAGGGAUGCUGCCCCAGAGCAGGUGCGAAUCUCCUGGAAGACAGGGACCAGUUCAACAUACAUUAAUUCAUUCAACAGAUUCAACUCAAUCCCAAACAAAAUCCCAGCAAGCAUUUUUGUAGAAAUUGACAAGCUGAGUCUAAGAUUUGUAUGGAAACACAGAGGACUCAGAAUAGACAAAACAGCUCUGAAAAAAGAACACAGUUGGAUCUGACUUCAAGGCUUACUAUAAAUCUUCUAGAAGAAAAUGAGAAAAUCUUUGUGAUCGUAGGUUAGGCAAAGAUUUUUUUAUUUUUUUUAAGAGAAGACACUAAAAGCAGGAUUCAUAAAAUUGGUAAAUAAGGCUUCAUCAAGAUUAAAAACGUCUGCUCUAUGAAAGGCACCAUUAAAAGAAGGAAAAGACAAGCAACAGACUGGGAUAAAUAUAUGUAACCCACGUGUCUGAUAAAGGAUUUAUAUGUAGUAUAAAGAAACUCUCAAAACUCAGCAGUAAGAAAAAAAACAACCCAUUAAAAACUGGGCAAAAGAUUUGAACAGACAUUUCACCAAAGAUUUACUGAUGGUGAAUAACCACAUGAAAUGAUGCUAACAUUAAAGUCACUGGGGAAAUGAGAAUUA